rnacentral:lncRNA from 1 species
GCCACGGGCAGCUUGACCAGGAAGCCGGCGAGAUGGAACUGGCAUCUAUCGGGCCCUGACCGUGCUGGGGGCUGCACCGGCUCGGAAAGAAACCGAUCAGUGCAGGCACCAGUGCUUGACGGUCAGCUUGGGCCUGGGAUCCUGACCCUGCACCCGGGCUCUGAGAGGGAGAACUGUGGCGUUUGCUCAGCCAAGCCCGGACAGCUUAGCCGCCAGCCCCCUCCACCUUCCCGCAGCCCUUCUCUUCCCCAGAGGUCAGAAGCCAGGCAGGAAGACCUAAGAGGGGCUAUCUGUUGAGGCCCCAGGGAGGGAGGAAGCCUGUCCCUGCCCUGAGGGCCUGACCCCAGGCUAGGUCUCAAGAGAGGCUGGAAGCCAGAGGCCUGAGGCCAGUCCCGUUGCUGACGCGGAUGUGGUCCAGCUGGGGCCCUGACAGGUGUGGCCACUGGUGAGGCCAGAGGUAACCGGGCUGGGAGGGGGGUGCAUCUUCAAGCCACACCUCCCCAGACCAGCCUCCCUCCCUCCCCAUCCAUGCUUGUGUGGGGUCCUUGUGGGCAACUGUCACCCUUUCCCACCCCCACUGUCCUGGGAGGACUGGAGGAUGGGGUUGGGUGGUGACGCCAGCUUCAAGAAGCAGCAGUUAGUCGCUGGUCUGUGCUGCCAGGACCCCGGGCCACGGGCCUUCCUGCUCCCGCCACUCCUCCCACCGCCUGAACUUGUGCUGAGAUCCUGCACCCAACCAGCUGAUGCCUGAGCGGGAAAGGAUUCUAGGGCCAGAUCCGUGCUGGCCUGGCCAAGACUCUUGGAACCACCCUGCUGUCCCGGGCUGUCUCUGCUGGAGCCUCUUUGCUCCCGCCCCCUUUGCAAGUGUCUGACCCGCAUCCCACUACUCCCGCUCCUCGUCCCUCUGCCUCUCCAAGAGCUGUGCUCCCACGGCCUUCCCUCUGGCCUCACAGCCACCACCACGUCCCCCCUCCUCACGUCCAGGUCAGCCCUCAAGGGAAUCUGAACUCCUCCACGACCAGAAGCCACACAGAACUAGCUCAAAGGUCCCCUUCCCAGGACACCGACUCCCAGAGGACCCAGACCCAGACCUUUCAGCCCAAGGAAUGGGAUGAUGUCAGGGGUUCCAGGUGGAGACGAGGACUCCCAGGCCCAGACUCAUGCCUUGCCCAGCCCCAGGAGACGGAGUUUCAGAAGCAUACCUGGGACAAGUCUAAAAAUCAGAUGGGGACUUUAUUGUGAUGGUGGCAGGUCCACCAGCAGAUGCAAAUGUGGGGUGCUGAGAGUGGCAACACAGGCCACCCCAAACCAA